rnacentral:ncRNA from 1 species
CGUUCCAGAUUUGAGGGAAUUCGCGCCUAGUACGAGAGGACUGGUGUGAGGGAAUCCCUGGUGUGCCAGUUGUUUCAAACAAGAGCAACGCUGGGUAGCUAUAUUCCCAACCGAUAACCGCUGAAAGCAUCUAAGUGGGAAGCGGUUCCUAAGAUAAGAUCUGGUUAUCAUCGCAAGAUGGUUUAAGACCCCUUGUAGACCACGAGGUUGAUAGGCGGGCAGUGUAAGUGCCGCAAGGUAUUUAGCUUACCCGUACUAAUGGUCGA